AAACUGCGUACGGCUCAUUACACCAGCUAUAAUUUACUUGACCUUGACUUCUUACUUGGAUAACUGUGGUAAUUCUAGAGCUAAUACAUGCACCAAAGCUCCAAUCUCCCCAGAGCGGAGCGCAUUUGUUCGCCACAAAACCAAGCGCCCUCCGGGCGUCCAGUGUUGACUCAGAACAACUAAGCUGAUCGCACGGUCUUGUACCGGCGACGUGUCUUUCAAGUGUCUGCCUUAUCAACUUUCGAUGGUAGUGUACCUGACUACCAUGGUGAUGACGGGUAACGGAGGAUAAGGGUUCGACUCCGGAGAAGGGGCCUGAGAAAUGGCCACUACGUCUAAGGAUGGCAGCAGGCGCGCAAAUUACCCACUCUCAACAUGAGGAGGUAGUGACGAGAAAUAACGAGACCGAUCUCAUACGAGGCCGGUCAUCGGAAUGGGUACAAUUUAAA
rnacentral:rRNA from 1 species